GUAAGACUUGUGUGUUAUGAAGAGAGAUUAGUUACAAGAGUUGAUUGUUUUGGCAGAUGAUUGAAGGUGUUAAUGAAGUUGAAUUGUGGGCUUAGGUGAAUAGACAUUUUCCCUUAUAAUAUCUUUUUUUCAUAUGGUAUUUUCCCCAAAAAAUAUUGAGUAAGAAUUUGAGUUGCCGAAUUCUUUGAUGCUGCCAUGAAAUUAGAAGUGAUAACGUAAUGCUGAAAAUUCAGGGUAAGCUUUCAGUAUUGAUCUUUUUGUUGUUUGAACUACAUUUUUGAAAAAAUUCAACUACUAAUAUAGUAAGUUGAGGUGGUAUUCAAAGACAAAUUGUUUAAAUACAAAGUCAGAAUAACAAGCAGGUUGAAUCAGGUGAAAAGGUUCAUUUCUGGCUCUCCAAUUUCCAAGUCCUUUAAGGUACCAUUCCACAUUUUCUUAAGAACAUUUAAACUUUUGCCAAUGAAUCGUGAUGUUGGUGUUGCAUUUAUUUUUAGCAGUUCUUGGAUAAAAGCUGAAACUUUAAUAUUGAAAAUUCUGUUACUGGAUUGAGUUCUAGAAGUCUGUCAUAUCAUCUUAUGCUUUCUCAAAAUUUUUGUUUCAUGUGUUCAUAACAAACGAUUGUAAAACCCUUCUAAUGUUAUGCAUUUAUAUUUAUUUUUCACAAUUAUAUAUCAAGUAAAAGUGAUCUUUUGCUAUGUCUUUUUUCCUGUUUCUUGCAGGCCGCAUGAAAAUAUGCCUUCGGUUUGGAUUGAGUCAGGAAUGAUACGAAUGAUAUGAUUCCCUCUGCUGACUGUGAUGGAAGAAAAAUAGCAUUGGGGCGGCAUGGCACGACAACUGAAAAAGUCACAUACUUCUGUUUUGUAGCACCACGACAUUUAAUGGGUAUUGUAUAAAAUUACUUCAUACCAAACAAAGAAAUCUUCUUUUAAUACAUUGUUUUAUCCGUUUCUUAUCCUGUUUCAGUUGGUUCUCUCUAUUUGAUUAGAGGUCCAAUUUAACGGUUUCUUCAACCUUUGCUUAAUUUAUUUUGUAAGUUGAAAUAUCUUACUUUCGACUAUCUAAUGCUACUUGAUGUUAUGAUUUUAUCUGUGAAUAGAUUUUUGGAGUCCAUUUAUAUAUAA